GAUGAACGCUGGCGGCGUGCCUAAUACAUGCAAGUCGAGCGAAUGGAUUAAGAGCUUGCUCUUAUGAAGUUAGCGGCGGGCGGGUGAGUAACACGUGGGUAACCUGCCCAUAAGACUGGGAUAACUCCGGGAAACCGGGGCUAAUACCGGAUAACAUUUUGAACCGCACGGGUCGAAAUUGAAAGGCGGCAUCGGCUGUCACUUCUGGAUGGACCCGCGUCGCAUUAGCUAGUUGGUGAGGUAACGGCUCACCAAGGCAACGAUGCGUAGCCGACCUGAGAGGGUGAUCGGCCACACUGGGACUGAGACACGGCCCAGACUCCUACGGGAGGCAGCAGUAGGGAAUCUUCCGCAAUGGACGAAAGUCUGACGGAGCAACGCCGCGUGAGUGAUGAAGGCUUUCGGGUCGUAAAACUCUGUCGUUAGGGAAGAACAAGUGCUAGUUGAAUAAGCUGGCACCUUGACGGUACCUAACCAGAAAGCCACGGCUAACUACGUGCCAGCCGCCGCCGUAA
rnacentral:rRNA from 1 species